AACGAACGCUGGCGGCAGGCUUAACACAUGCAAGUCGAACGCCCCGCAAGGGGAGUGGCAGACGGGUGAGUAACGCGUGGGAACCUACCCUUUCCUGCGGAAUAGCUCUGGGAAACUGGAAUUAAUACCGAAUACGCCCUACGGGGGAAAGAUUUAUCGGGGAAGGAUUGGCCCGCGUUGGAUUAGCUAGUUGGUGGGUUAAAGGCCUACCAAGGCGACGAUCCAUAGCUGGGCUGAGAGGAUGAUCAGCCACAUUGGGACUGAGACACGGCCCAAACUCCUACGGGAGGCAGCAGUGGGGAAUAUUGGACAAUGGGCGCAAGCCUGAUCCAGCCAUGCCGCGUGAGUGAUGAAGGCCUUAGGGUUGUAAAGCUCUUUCACCGAUGAAGAUAAUGACGGUAGUCGGAGAAGAAGCCCCGGCUAACUUCGUGCCAGCAGCCGCCGUAAUAC
rnacentral:rRNA from 1 species